rnacentral:lncRNA from 1 species
CAGCGACCUGCGGCGUGGCCGGGCCACUCCCUCGGCUGGGCUGGGGCAUCCUGGUGGCACCCACAGGAGCCUGUGGGGCUGGGGACAGGAAUGAGCCGCCCCCUCCCAUGACAGCUGUCCCCUGGCAUCCCUGGCGCGCCUGUACCGGGCAGCUGUGGGCCGGGUGGGGUCCCUGCAGCUCCCAGCUUGCAGCCUGCUGCUCCAGACUUUGGAAGUGGGAGCCAGGAAAGGAGGACCUGGUCUCCUCUGCUGAGAGCUGAAGCUGCCAAUAACCAGACUGUGGCUGGGAGUGGAAGGAGAGGGUGUCUUUGCUGAGUGGAUCACAGAUGUGUACCUUGUUCUCACUCCUGAGCUGGACCUGGACAUCUGGAUUCAGUCUUUCUUGUCCCCUGUUUUGGCAGCAGCACUAAAGCAAUUCCACCAGACCAAAGAUGAGCUGCUGUUCUUCAUAGUGAGUAUGAAGACAAGAGUGGCCAAAGAACGCUGAAGGAAUAAGACCUUAGAUGGCCCUUGGAAAGGCUCCUUUUCCUCUAUGUGUUGUCCUAGGAGCAUCUUUGAGUAAUGAGGAGAACAUAGACUUUUUAUACUACAUCAAUUUUUUCCCAUGCAGCCUUGAGUUAAUUAUUAAACCUCUGAAGUCCCCGAUU